AUGAACGCUUGCGGCCUGCCUAAUACAUGCAAGUCGAGCGAACAGACGAGGAGCUUGCUCCUCUGACGUUAGCGGCGGACGGGUGAGUAACACGUGGAUAACCUACCUAUAAGACUGGGAUAACUUCGGGAAACCGGAGCUAAUACCGGAUAAUAUAUUGAACCGCAUGGUUCAAUAGUGAAAGACGGUUUUGCUGUCACUUAUAGAUGGAUCCGCGCCGCAUUAGCUAGUUGGUAAGGUAACGGCUUACCAAGGCAACGAUGCGUAGCCGACCUGAGAGGGUGAUCGGCCACACUGGAACUGAGACACGGUCCAGACUCCUACGGGAGGCAGCAGUAGGGAAUCUUCCGCAAUGGGCGAAAGCUUGACGGAGCAACGCCGCGUGAGUGAUGAAGGUCUUCGGAUCGUAAAACUCUGUUAUUAGGGAAGAACAAAUGUGUAAGUAACUAUGCACGUCUUGACGGUACCUAAUCAGAAAGCCACGGCUAACUACGUG
rnacentral:rRNA from 1 species